CUUCCCUGAGUGUUUCUCAGUUGUCAGCUUCCUCUCACUAGAUCAGCCCUGCGUUUGCAUCAGCAAAAAAUGUCAGACUCUUUAAAAGACUUAGGAGCGUGUCAUGAGUCAUAGUAUUGGAGGAGUGCAGCCACACCUGUGACCUGAGGCCAGGGUGCAGCUGGAGGUGCCACCCCCGGUGACAGGGUACUUAGGGCUGGGUGAGCAAAGAGGGUGGGACUGCUCCACGCUCCUGGGCAGGGAGCUGGGCAGGCCCUGCGAGAUGCACCCUCAGCUGCUUCCCCUUUCCGGGCCCCAGGGCAGAAGGGGGAGCCAGGUGUGAGGGAGGAAGCUCCGGCAGUCCCAGCCCAGAGGCGCCGGCCUGGCGGCUGGAAGACCGCGCUGUGGGCACAUCUGGGGAGCAGCUGCCGGGCCAGGGCCAGCGCAGCCAGAACGGGUCACGUGGCACAGGGCAGGCCCGCCCUGCAGCCUGCGAGGCCAAGGCUCCCUCCCGGGAGGGGCAGCGGGGAACGUGCUGGACAUGAACACGCAUCCACAAGGAUGUACUCCGCGGUGUGGACACACAUGCACACAAGCCUUGGGCCCCGCACAGCCGCUGCCUCAGGAGACAGACGGCCUGGGUUCAAGGCCACAUCCCAGCUGUGUGAUCUGAAGCAAGUCACUCAACCUCUCUGGGCCUCAGCGGCCUCCGCUGGAAAAGGAACAUACCUGCUGCUGCCAGUCGCGGGUGAAUACUGGGAGCGCUGCCUGAUAGGGAGCCUUUGCCCGGAGUCCCGGAGGUCCGAGGAGAGGUCUGACUGGUAAAGGCUGACAGGGUGACGUGGUGACAGAGACAUCGUGAGAAGACACGUCCGUUCAUCACCAGGGGCUGCCGUCACCUCCUGGCACAGCUUAUUUGACCUCAUAACUGGCCUACAGAGAACAAUGAUCAUUAACUCCAGUUUACAGAUGAGGAAACUGAGGUACAGCUUGUCGAUGACAGAGCCAGGAUUUGAAGGUGGCAAGGGCUGGUCCUUUUUUCUCUCUGGGCCCCCAUGUGCCAUCUGUGAAAUGGUGGGUUAUA